rnacentral:rRNA from 1 species
GAUGAACGCUGGCGGCGUGCCUAAUACAUGCAAGUCGAGCGAACAGACGAGGAGCUUGCUCCUCUGACGUUAGCGGCGGACGGGUGAGUAACACGUGGAUAACCUACCUAUAAGACUUGGAUAACUUCGGGAAACCGGAGCUAAUACCGGAUAAUAUAUUGAACCGCAUGGUUCAAUAGUGAAAGACGGUUUUGCUGUCACUUAUAGAUUGAUCCGCGCCGCAUUAGCUAGUUGGUAAGGUAACGGCUUACCAAGGCAACGAUGCGUAGCCGACCUGAGAGGGUGAUAGGCCACACGGGAACUGAGACACGGUCAAGACUCCUACGGGAGGCAGCAGUAGGGAAUGUUCCGCAAUGGGCGAAAGCCUGACGGAGCAACGCCGCGUGAGUGAUGAAGGUCUUCGGAGCGUAAAACUCUGUUAUUAGGGAAGAACAAAUGUGUAAGUAACUAUGCACGUCUUGAAGGUGCCUAAUCAGAAAGCCACGGCUAACUACGUG